UUCCCUCACUAGAUGUCCUCAGGGAGCAGGUUUGGAGCUGAGCCUCUCGGAGGUUCUCCCGCACACCUGCUAUUCAUCUUCCUUCAUUAGAUGAGGUAUAAGAAGAGCCGGCUGCUGGUUCUCCGACGCCAGAGUGUUUGCCUACCUCUCAGAGUCUCAGCUCUUCGUCUGAAACCUCUUGAGUUCAGAGAUCUCCUAUAUCUGUGUUCUGCCCUAGGUACGCUUCGACUCGGGACUCAGAUCGUGGUUUCCUCCCUCCUGCUCCAAGUUACCCCCUACAGCGGUCCCCGCCCCGCAGCAGCCCCGGCUGACUACUGCUUGACCCGAGCCCAACUGUUGCCCCUCCCUGGCGGGUCACCUUGCCCACACGAUGUUCCGAGCCAGCCUUCCAGUGUGGGUGUGUAUCCUGGACUCCCUCAUCAUUACACUGUCAACUUCUUGUAAAUAAAUCUAAAUGAACUGUUCUAAUCUAAUGAUGGUGUUUCUGAAUGUGGGUUAAACAAAUUCCCAAAAGCGUGACACUUCCUUUUCUAACCUGAGAAGAAUUUAAAAAAAAAAAAAAAAAAUCAUAUCUUUAAAGAAAAUAAGUACCAAAUAGCUUUCUAUUGCACUCCCACAAAAAACUUAAGAUAUUAAGUAUAAAAUUUUCCCUAUAAUGACCUGCAAAAACAAAAUUCAAAAUAAAUACCAAUUCCUGUGGGUUUUGUGACAGAUUUUGAGACGAUGCACUUUUUUUUUAUUGCGACUUCAUUAAUGUUUUUAGAAAGACUCCCGUGGAUAUUGUACAAGAAAUCUAUUCCAUCUUUAAGCUUUAAUAUCACAAAAUCUGAUCUUUUAACAGGGGAAGUAAGAGUUAAAUUAUAUUAACAAUGUAAUCCUGUGGCUAAGUUUUAUUCACAAACAACUGCUUUCUAAAAAUCACCUCCAUUUUUAAAGUGAAAUAUUUUAUUUAGGAGUCAUCAAACGUUGCAACAUCACAAAAGCUCAAUCUAUACAGAUAUGUUAAUAUCUUAAUUUAAGAUUUUAAAUUUGUCUUGCAUUUAUGACAUUUUGUUUUAUUUUCCUCACAGUUUAUGAUUUUUUUUUUCCUGCUCCAUACAGUUCAUCAUAUUAAACUUUAUUACUAAUUUGUGCCUUGUUUGUUUGUUGCCUCUGUUUUCUUUGAAUUUUCUAAGACUGGGAAAAAACAUUGCCAUAAACCCGCCUUUCAACUCAAAACGUCUCAUGCAGCAAUAAAUUGUGGGUAAUACACUUCGAAGUCCAUAAAAAUGCGGACUUCAUGUAAGGGUGGAAAUAGUACCCGAAAUGGGCAGGGCGAAGGGCGGAUGUGGACAAUGUGGACACACUACGCACUCAAACCCUUCAACAUGAAGUUGAAGGACAUUUGAAGGACACAAGGGCGGAACGAGAGUGGGAGUGCGUGUAUUGCGACAGGGCUUGUGUUUGGGUCAAGGAGGGUUUUCCGCUAUUGUGAGGACAAUUACCAAAAAUAAAUAGAAAUCUUUUUCUAACUUCAAUAUCAGACCUAUGUUUUUAUUCACAAGCCAGGGUAUAUUGGAAAAUUAAUAUUCUUGCUCAUAGGAGGAGGGGACGGAAUUAUGUCCCCCUCCUUACCAUGGAACAGGUGUUCUAACUUUCUGUGCUACCCAUGAAUCCGGAGGCAAAGGCACUGAGAAUCGUUCAGUUAUUAUUAGACUGAGGGGAGCCUGACUAAUUUAUUUUGUUAAAUUGUUGCAUAGAUAAAAACAAAACAAAUGUAAGAAAAAAAGUUUAAAACAAAACAAAACAAAAAACAAUAACAAAGGGCACUUGGGGUAUUAAGGUAUAGGCUCAAGCUUUACUUAUUGCUAAUCAAC